rnacentral:lncRNA from 1 species
AUGUCAGAGAUGCAUACUGGAGGCAGUACUGGAAGCGCUACAGCUAUGGUGAGGAGGUCCUGGAUCAGUACGGGUUUGAUCCCAUGGAGACAAGUUGCUUUCUCCACUGAUGGAGAAGUUUUGGCUGGCAUGAUAAGGAAGACAAAAUCAGCAAUUCCAGGGCUGCCUUCUAAAGAAAGAGAGGACGGGAAGGGACUGCUAAACAUGAAGAAACUUCCUGCAAAGCCACCAGACUGGAAAAAGAGGCCUGAAGAAGGGUUUGUGUGCUUGAAAACCAGCCUGCUUUUUCAAAUGCAUCAGACAAUACAAUAA